rnacentral:rRNA from 1 species
AUUGAACGCUGGCGGAAUGCCUUACACAUGCAAGUCGAACGGCAGCACGGACUUCGGUCUGGUGGCGAGUGGCGAACGGGUGAGUAAUGUAUCGGAACGUGCCCAGUCGUGGGGGAUAACGUAGUGAAAAUUACGCUAAUACCGCAUACGAUCUAUGGAUGAAAGCGGGGGAUCGCAAGACCUCGCGCGAUUGGAGAGGCCGAUAUCAGAUUAGGUAGUUGGUGGGGUAAAGGCCCACCAAGCCAACGAUCUGUAGCUGGUCUGAGAGGACGACCAGCCACACUGGAACUGAGACACGGUCCAGACUCCUACGGGAGGCAGCAGUGGGGAAUUUUGGACAAUGGGCGAAAGCCUGAUCCAGCCAUUCCGCGUGCAGGAUGAAGGCCCUCGGGUUGUAAACUGCUUUUGUACAGAACGAAAAGGCUUCUACUAAUACUAGGAGCUCAUGACGGUACUGUAAGAAUAAGCACCGGCUAACUACGUGCCAGCCGCCGCCGUAA